UAGCGAAGGGGGCUAGCGUUGCUCGGAAUCACUGGGCGUAAAGGGUGCGUAGGCGGGUCUUUUAAGUCAGGGGUGAAAUCCUGGAGCUCAACUCCAGAACUGCCUUUGAUACUGAAGAUCUUGAGUUCGGGAGAGGUGAGUGGAACUGCGAGUGUAGAGGUGAAAUUCGUAGAUAUUCGCAAGAACACCAGUGGCGAAGGCGGCUCACUGGCCCGAUACUGACGCUGAGGCACGAAAGCGUGGGGAGCAAACAGG
rnacentral:rRNA from 1 species